rnacentral:rRNA from 1 species
GUGGGGAAUUUUGCGCAAUGGGGGAAACCCUGACGCAGCAACGCCGCGUGAGUGAUGAAGGCCUUCGGGUCGUAAAGCUCUGUCAGAGGGGAAGAAGUGUGGGGUGGCUAAUAUCCAUUUCACUUGACGGUACCUUCAAAGGAAGCACCGGCUAACUCCGUGCCAGCAGCCGCGGUAAUACGGAGGGUGCGAGCGUUGUUCGGAAUUAUUGGGCGUAAAGCGCGUGUAGGCGGUUUUUUAAGUCUGAUGUGAAAGCCCUGGGCUCAACCCGGGAAGUGCAUUGGAAACUGGGAGACUUGAAUACGGGAGAGGGCAGUGGAAUUCCUGGUGUAGGAGUGAAAUCCGUAGAUAUCAGGAGGAACACCGGUGGCGAAGGCGGCUGCCUGGACCGAUAUUGACGCUGAGACGCGAAAGCGUGGGGAGCAAACAGGAUUAGAAACCCGUGUAGUCC